UAGGUGUGUUGGGUAGUCGCCCAGCCCCAGAUUUGAGUUAAUUAUUCAAAUCUAGGGCUGGGAGGAAAGUCCGGACACGCACUCGUUAAAUUGAGGAUGGUAGCAGGUAAUGCCUGUCGGGGGUAACCCUAGAGAUGCGAACAGAGACGAGUCUCUGCCUUUGGUGGAGGGUGAAACGGCAAAAUUCUUACCAGCAUGCAAGGGUCGUGUCCAGCCCCAGAUUUGAAUUGUUAAAAUUUUAACAAUUCAAAUCUGGGGCUGGGAGUGCCCGCUUGAGGUUGCCAGCAAUGGUAAUCCUAGAGAAAUGAUUACACAAAAACAGAAUCCGGCUUAUAGACACACCUAAAAA
rnacentral:RNase_P_RNA from 2 species